AUGCGAUAAGUAAUGUGAAUUGCAGAAUUCAGUGAAUCAUCGAAUCUUUGAACGCACAUUGCGCCCGCCAGUAUUCUGGCGGGCAUGCCUGUUCGAGCGUCAUUUCAACCAUCAAGCCCCGGGCUUGUGUUGGGGACCUGCGGCUGCCGCAGGCCCUGAAAUGCAGUGGCGGGCUCGCUGUCACUCCGAGCGUAGUAGUUACAUCUCGCUCUGGGCGUGCUGCGGGUUCCGGCCGUUAAAAGCCUUAUUUACCCAAGGUUGACCUCGGAUCAGGUAGGAAGACCCGCUGAACUUAA
rnacentral:misc_RNA from 1 species